rnacentral:rRNA from 1 species
GAUGAACGCUAGCGGCAGGCUUAAUACAUGCAAGUCAAGGGGGUAGCAAUACAACCGGCGCACGGGUGAGUAACGCGUACACAACAUACCAUAUACUGGAGUAUAGCUUUGGGAAACUGAAGGUAAUCCUCCAUAACAUUGCGAGAGGGCAUCUGAUUGCAAUUAAAGUUUCGGCGGUAUAUGAUUGGUGUGCGUUUUGAUUAGCUAGUUGGUAGGGUAACGGCCUACCAAGGCGACGAUCAAUAGCUGGCGUGAGAGCGCGACCAGCCACACUGGAACUGAGACACGGUCCAGACUCCUACGGGAGGCAGCAGUAGGGAAUAUUGGACAAUGGAGGAAACUCUGAUCCAGCCAUGCCGCGUGAUAGAUGAAGGCCCUCUGGGUUGUAAAUAUCUUUUAUCUGGGAAGAAACACUCCUAUUCUUAGGAACUUGACGGUACCAGAGGAAUAAGCACCGGNUAACUCCGUGCCAGCAGCCGUCGGUAAAGUA